GCGAUGGUGGCGUUGGCGC
rnacentral:misc_RNA from 1 species